rnacentral:misc_RNA from 1 species
GUGAGAUAAUUAGUGAAUUGUAGCAGCAAGAAGAAAACUAUAAUUUUCUCUAUAAUUUUACCUUCUUCACCAAAGACUGCCCAAUGCAUAUAGGAAUAAAAAUCAAGACUAGACUGUUAAUGGAAAUAGGGUUCAGAAGAUCAAUUUUGACAGCUAUUAAUCACAUAUUUAUAUCAGUUAAAAAAAUAUAACUAUUUGAUAAACAUGCAUCACUAUAAUUAUAAUUGCAAUCAACAGUCUUAAAUAUAGACACAUUCAAAUUUGAGUUAUAUCUCUUCCAAUGACGGGCGACCUGAUCCUAGCUCCGAUACUUUAAAACUCUGCCUUUUGGAAGGCUUUUUGGAAGCUUGCCCAAAAAAAUUAAAAUCUUCCUUUUAAGCAUCUUCAAUAAGAGACUUCCAUGUAAUGACUUAUUGCACAGGCGUGUCCCCAUGUGGCUCCGGAAUGCAACUUUUGUGGUCAAAGAGAAACUUUACACCACCUUUUCUUUUCUUGCCCGAAAGCUAUGUCCAUUUGGCUGCACUCAAACCUCCAGCUGCACUCAUCUCUGAUUGCUCAUUCUAAUAUGAUAAAUUGUUGGCUAGAAGAACUGGAAGGUAUUCCUAAGCAAGCUUCUAAUCGUUCAGAAUUAUUGCAAGUAGUGGCUUUCCUUCUCUGGCAGAUUUGGAAGUGUAGGAAUGCACUUAUCUUUAACCAGCACACUAUGAAUUUCUGAGAAGUUAUCGAUUUGGCUUUAAAAAUCAAGAAGAUUUCCAUUUGGCCAUCUCUCCAUCAGAUGAACAGUUAAGAAGUCAUCAAUCUCAAGAGCUAUUCUGGUCCCCUCCUCCAAUGAAUUUUAUCAAACUAAACUUUGAUGCUGCUGUGGACCAUAUCCACAAUAGAGGUGCUAUUGCAGUAGUGGUUCAAAACUGUAAUUGCUGCAGCAUUUGGCCCUCCAUUCGGGAACCACUUAUUCUCAAAAGCAUUGCUUGGAAAGAAGCAACACGGCUUGCUUGUACAACAGGUUUCUCGCAUAUCAUUGUGGAAGGAGACUCAUCUGUUGCUAUCAAAGCUAUCCAGAGUAAGGUAUAUCCUUUAGCCAUACAAGGGACUCUUCUCGAUGUUUUAGAGCUCUGGUCUUAUUUCGGGGAGAUUGAUACUCAGUUGUUCGUAGAGUUCACAACCAAGCAGCUCAUCUACUUGCUAUAUAUGAGGUGGGGUCGUAGUAAGGCGUGAGGCGAAAUAUCAUCCACUAGAAUUAUAUAAAAUGACCAGAUAAUGCGCAGGAAAGAUAAUAGAGUCACAAUGGUCUCACCUAAGUAUCACCUCCUUAGACAGCAUUUCCUA